GAGUUGUAAACUGCUUUUGUACGAGGGUAAACGCAGAUACGUGUAUCUGUCUGAAAGUAUCGUACGAAUAAGGAUCGGCUAACUCCGUGCCAGCAGCCGCGGUAAUACGGAGGAUUCAAGCGUUAUCCGGAUUUAUUGGGUUUAAAGGGUGCGUAGGCGGUUUGAUAAGUUAGAGGUGAAAUUUCGGGGCUCAACCCUGAACGUGCCUCUAAUACUGUUGAGCUAGAGAGUAGUUGCGGUAGGCGGAAUGUAUGGUGUAGCGGUGAAAUGCUUAGAGAUCAUACAGAACACCGAUUGCGAAGGCAGCUUACCAAACUAUAUCUGACGUUGAGGCACGAAAGCGUGGGGAGCAAACAGGAUUAGAUACCCUGGUAGUCCACGCAGUAAACGAUGAUAACUCGUUGUCGGCGAUACACAGUCGGUGACUAAGCGAAAGCGAUAAGUUAUCCACCUGGGGAGUA
rnacentral:rRNA from 1 species